UGGCGGGUGGCCGGCGGUGAUGACGUUUAUAUCAAAGCACGUGUUAGACUGCUGACAAGGGUGAUGCGAACUGGAGUCUGAGCCUGGCCGCCGUGGUGGCGAGAAGGGGACGUACCAGCGGGGGCACAUCCGCUUAUCCGCUGCUUUUGUUCUUGCAGAUCCCAGCCGGCCGAGCACAACGAAUCUCGUCCUCCCAGCCUUAACACUCUCAAUAAAAUGGAUGAGGGUCCUCAGAGGAGGACCCUGACGCACAGGAAGCAGAGCCCCUGUUCUCGACCUAGAGCUUUCAGCCUCACUGUGAAACACUAGAUGACACUGCGGCUUUACCUGAAACUCCUGCUCCAGUUUCUUCUCUAUCCAGUCUGUCACAUGAACUAAAGUCACCUCUCUCUCUCCAAGUUUUG